GAUGAAGAACGCAGCGAAAUGCGAUAAGUAAUGUGAAUUGCAGAAUUCCGUGAAUCAUCGAAUCUUUGAACGCACAUUGCGCCCUCUGGUAUUCCGGGGGGCAUGCCUGUUCGAGCGUCAUUGCAACCCCUCAAGCACAGCUUGUGUGUUGGGCCAUCGUCCCUCUUUUGUGGACGGGCCUGAAAUGCAGUGGCAGCACCGAGUUCUGGUGUCUGAGUGUAUGGGAAUCUCUUAUCGCUCAAAGACCCAAUCGGCGCUGAUGUCAGAUUUUUAUCCAGUUUGACCUCGGAUCAGGUGGGAGUACCCGCUGAACUUAAGCAUAUCAAUAAGCGGAGGA
rnacentral:misc_RNA from 1 species